UACGUAGGGAGCAAGCGUUGUUCGGAUUUACUGGGCGUAAAGGGCGCGUAGGCGGCGCGGUAAGUCCGCUGUGAAAGUCGGGGGCUCAACCCUCGGAUGCCGGUGGAUACUGUCGGGCUAGAGUGCGGAAGAGGCGAGUGGAAUUCCUGGUGUAGCGGUGAAAUGCGCAGAUAUCAGGAAGAACACCCGUGGCUAAGGCGGCUCUCUAGUACGGUACUGACGCUGAGACGCGAAAGCGUGGGGAGCGAACAGG
rnacentral:rRNA from 1 species